GACGAACGCUGGCGGCGCGCCUAACACAUGCAAGUCGAACGGAGCUGAGAGAAGCUUGCUUUUCUUAGCUUAGUGGCGAACGGGUGAGUAACGCGUGAGUAACCUGCCCUGGAGUGGGGGACAACAGUUGGAAACGACUGCUAAUACCGCAUAAGCCCACGAUCCGGCAUCGGAUUGAGGGAAAAGGAUUUAUUCGCUUCAGGAUGGACUCGCGUCCAAUUAGCUAGUUGGUGAGGUAACGGCCCACCAAGGCGACGAUUGGUAGCCGGACUGAGAGGUUGAACGGCCACAUUGGGACUGAGACACGGCCCAGACUCCUACGGGAGGCAGCAGUGGGGGAUAUUGCACAGUGGGGGAAACCCUGAUGCAGCGACGCCGCGUGGAGGAAGAAGGUUUUCGGAUUGUAAACUCCUGUCGUUAGGGACGAUAAUGACGGUACCUAACAAGAAAGCACCGGCUAACUACGUG
rnacentral:rRNA from 1 species